rnacentral:rRNA from 1 species
UCUACAGCCAUACCACCUUGAACGCGCUUGAUCUCAUCUGAUCUCGGAAGCUAAGCAGUGUUGGGCCCAGUUCAUACUUGGAUGGGAGACAGAGGAGGAGAGAAUAGCACUACCUAGAA